rnacentral:lncRNA from 1 species
UGACAGAGAAUAGCUUUCCAACUCCCAAGAGCACAGGGAUCCUAUUCAGGGAAGCUGUCUCAGCUGUUCUUUCUUCCAUGUCAGUGGACUGAAAAAUAUCUUUGUUUUUCCCUUUGCAAUCAAAAACAAAAGCUGGCUUUUGAAGGACUAUUUUAAAAGUAGAAGAGCUUCAGGCUUCUGAAGGUUUAAUCUUCCAAAAAUGUAGUGAUGGCACCUGAAACCUAAUAUUCUGCAAAGAGACACCCUACAGUUUCUCUCUUGCAUCCUUUUAAAAGGUGAAUGAUGACUUGAGAUGAAGGAGAAGUCACUUGCUAUUUUAAAUCGGGGAAAGAUGCAACUUACUUUAUUUAAUUCCGUAACCAUGUGAUCUCUUUGUCUGUCUUAGUACUGAGAAAGAAGUGCUGCUUCUUCACACCAAAAUCCUGUAUAGGCACAGGAACUUCUCACCAGGAUGGAAAGCUUUCCAGGAGCAGGGUGAUUAGGCUACUUCAGGUGCCACCAUGCAGAUGGCAUUCCCAGCAAAUCUGUUCAGAUUCACUGCGUUCUUGUCUGGAAGUGUUAACAGAUGACUGGGAAAGGGGAGGAAGAGGAGAACUAGCAUUACAUUUUUCAGGUCAAGUUCUGCCCUGAAUUCUGCCUGGUCAUCUCUGAGAGGUAUCAUAAGGAAACCAAAGUAAUAUUGCAUAUACCCUCCAGUUAAGACAGCUAUCAGCAACGGCGGCAGCUGAGGGCUGGUGCUCCCUCCAGCAGGCGGGAACUGUCCCCUGAACUGCCGCUGCGAAAUUUCAUCAAGUCCUCUGGCAGUGCCCUUUGCAUUUUACACCUGCUUUCCUACUGCCUUCAAAGGUAACUAAGUGCUAAUAAUGCUAAUGUGUAAAGUCAUAUCUCUGCUGGUGCCAUUAACACCUUUUUAUGUGCAAAAAUGUAGUUAACAUUUCUAUCUAGUACCGCAACAAAAACUCUUUACUGAUCAGGUGGGAAAUUCUCUCAAACUGUACAACGAAGGUUAGGUAAAAUCCCCCAAAUUAGAACCAGA